UGCUGUUUAAUCAGCUUCUUGAUAUGCCACACCUGUCAGGUGAACAGAUUAACUUGGCAAAGGAGAAAUGCUCACUAACAGUGAUGUAAACAAAUUUGUGCACAAAAUUUGAGAGAAACAAGCUUUUUUGUGCGUAUAGAACAUUUAUGGGAUCUUUAAUUUCAGGUCAUGAAACGUGGGACCAAAACUUUACAUGUUGCGUUUAUAUUUUUGUUCAGUAUGCAUUUUCUGAGUUGUAGUCAUUGGUGCCCACCUUUGCAAAAGGUUUUGCAUCAGGAAAUAAUUGUUUGUAUAUAGUAGUCCUGUUUGGUUCUGUUAUACAUGUUCUGACCAGAGCAUUUGACUGUUUUCUCAUGUUCCAAGACUAGAGGUUUGAUUGCUCUGAGGGCGUAGUCAGUAAUGACACAUUAUCACAUUUAUUAUGACAUAUUAUUUAUCAUCAAACCUGAAUUUAUGCAGCUCUAAUGCAGCUGUAAUCCCUGACAUGUUGCCACAACUACACCACAGACCAAAAUGUGCCAUGCUUCAUUUAGCCCAGGCUGUCACAAACAUCCCUAUGAUUAAUGUCUUAACUGUAUGUGAGUCACUACACCUGUGUACAGGGCUUGACUAAUCCCAAAACCUUUGUGGGGUGUCAAUUGGAGGGAGGGUUGUGUAACAAACACACACUGACUCAUUGUGCUUCUGCAGAAGGGGGAGGUUUCCUGGUUGGAUGGGUGCUCUGAGGUGUACAUGUUCCGCCCCUGGCUCCCUGCGCUGAGAGGCAGCCUCUGCCCUAAGGGUCAAGCUGCACCCUUCUUGAAGGUUCCUUGGGCUGUGUUGGGCAAGGUAAUCACUGCCCCGCUGGGUCGGCUGGAUUCGCUGACACACACAGAAGCUCGAAAGUUACCAAACUUGGAGGGAUUAUUUGUUUAGUUGCACUAAACCACUUCUCUGAUGAGAUUUUUUUGAGUUGUGGUGUUGAAGAAAAAAUAUAAAAGCGACAUGUAAAGUGUUGGUUCCAUGUUUCCUGAGCUAAAAUAAAAGAUCCCAGAAAGGUUCCAUACACACACAUUUUGUGACACUUGUUUACAUUCCUGUUAGUGAGCAUUUCCCCUUUGCCAAGAUAUGCCAUACCUGGCAGGUGGAUGGAUUAUCAAGAAGCUGAUUAAACAGCAGGAUCAUUACAUAGGUGCCCCUUGUGUUGGGGACAAUAAAAGGCCACUCUAAAAUGUGCAGUUUCGACACAACACAAUGCCCCAGAUGUGGGAGUGUGGAAUUGGCAUUUUGACUGCAGGAAUGUCCACCAGAGCUGUCGCCAGAUAGAGAAAUGAACAUUACAUUAUCAUAAGUCACCUCCAAAGACAUUUUAGAGAAUUUGGCAGUACAUCCAACUGGCCUCACAACCGCAGACCACGUGUAUUGAGUGGUUUGCUGAUGUCCACGUUGUGAACAGAGUGCCUAUAUCGGGGUUAUGGUAUGGGCAGGCAUAAGCUACGGACAACAAACACAAUUGCAUUUUACCGAUGGCAAUUUGAAUAUGCACAGAAAUACCAUGGUCAGAUCCUGAGGACCAUUUCUUUUUUUGAGGUAUCUUUGACCAACAGAUGCAUAUCUCUAUUCCCAGUCGUGAAAUUCAUAGAUUAGAGCCUAAUGAACUUAUUUCAAUUGACUGAUUUCCUCAUGAACUAUAACUCAUGAACUAUAAUAUUAAAAGCUUUAUUGUUUCAUGUUGCGUUUAUAUUUUUGUUCCGUAUACGUUGGAUGUAUUCAGCCUGAUGUAUUUACUAGGAUUUAUACUAUACCUAUGAUUCAUACUUCCUCAAUGCUUUCAUUCUCCUGGAGUUGGCAAUGACCUUUUUUAUUUCAACAUUUUGCACACACUUUACACCAAAUCUUGAUUGCUAGCCUACAGGGGCUAGUGGAAUUGUUAUUGUCAAUCAAAAACUUGGUCAGAAUUAAUUAACCUGUCAAUUGUUCAGAAGCUAACAUGUCAAUCUCUAUCACACUUCUGGUUGAAUAUACAUCAACUUUAGAAAGAUUCCAACAGCGCAGUUUUUUCCUCUGUGCAGAUUAGAGAAUGCCUGUUCGAAUAUUUGAUGUCACUCAAGUCAACGCAUUUAUAAUCAUCUAAUUUAAACGAACAGACUGUAAUAGUCACAAGAAUAAUGGACAAUUUUGAUAUGCUUUGAAAUUUGAUACAUUCAAUUAGGAACACGGUCAACUGCAGUUGUCGUCAAAUCUGUGUGAAUUCUCUCAAGAGCCUAUUUCUUGUCGCCUGUCUUUCCAGUCCAAGCCCGGGUGCUCGGAGGCCACCACUACUACACCUUUGAUAGCCUGGUGUUUAAUAACUACCAUGGAAACUACUCUGGUCCAGAAAUGCACCCACGCUAGUACUGCAGAACCCUUCUCUGUAAUGGUGCAAACCGACCAUGCUCAGAACCACUUUUCAUCUAUUAAAGCGCUACAGCUCACUGUGUACAAGGACCACACUGUUAUCCAGAGCGGCUGUUGUUGGGUACGUUAAAAUACACACAUGCACUUUACGUUCAAUAGAAAGUUACAACAGACUCAGUCCGGCUAUAGACCACGCAGUGAUUUUCCUCUGGGCAUGUCUAUUGGUCAACCGUUCUGUAAUUGUUUUCCACCGAGUGAUGGUUUAACAUCCCUUUUGUAAUACGAGUUCACUGGGUCAUUCUCUGGAUGGAUGAUGGGCUGUCUUUGAAUAAUGAUUUGUGUCAAGUUCAAGUGCAUGUCUGUAUGGCAUUUUAGCUAGACUGGGUGAAAAAUGUAGAUUACCGAAUAAAGCUUUUCAGGGAAGAAAUUUUUAAUGAGAUAAAAAAUAAGUUAUGUUUCAGUGGAAUGACUUUGAGGUGGAAUGAUUACUCGGGUUGAUUGCACAAUUUGAGAGCGUCCAAUCACAUGUUCCAAUGCCAUUUUAGUUCAUCAUUGCCUAUUGACACAUUUGAUUAUAUUAAUUAUUCCACACAAGUAAAUGUUUACAUGAAAUACAUCCACCCUCUACUCUGAAAUGACAAUUUGUCUCCUUUCUCUCCCUUCUCUGGUUGUGAGGCCAGUUGGAUCUUUCGGUGAAGAUCCAUCAGAGCAGUCUGUUCUCGGUCGUUGACACCAGCUUCGGCCUCCAUGUCAAAUAGGACUGGUUCUACUACAUCCUGGUAAGCCUGCCCAGGAGAAGCUCUGACGUGUGGCAACAACCAUGGCAACAAGGACAAUGACCUUCACAUACCAGAGGGUGCUACUGCUAUGGAUGAGGCGGCCUUCGGCUGGAGCUGGAGGAGGGUCUUGGACUAGGAGGGUCAGUCCUGCCAUGUGGACUGUGGAGGUCCCUGCUCCGACACGGAUCUACAGUACAGUAAGGAAAGCUCCAGGACGUCUGGGAUCUGGUCGCAGCAAAACCCUCUCAGUUGGUGCCAUGAUUUGGUGGACCCUAGGGCCUAAUGUCAUCAGUAAGGGCAAGAACCAGGAAGUCCUGUGCCAGAAUCUGCAGGCCUACACAGGUGCUUGUCAGUCCUCCCAGGUUCCCAUCAAGCCAUGAAGGAGCAGCACCUUCUGCCACAGAGCCUGUCCAAAAGGGACAAGGAGUGUGGUGUUCACCUAACACGGCUCUGGUCCUACUCUCAUCUGCAAAUGUUGGCUCAACAAAACUGUGGCGCUGCCUGCAGACCACUGGGAGAACUGCUUCUGUGAACCAGGCCUGGUGCUCAGUGGCACCCUCUGUGUCCAGCCCGAGGACUGCGGCCACUUCCACCAUGAAGAGUACCUGGUGUAGUCCUGUGAGAAGAGAUGUGCGUUCCGUGCAGGUGGACACGUCUUGCCAUAAAAUCUCCAAUUGGGAGGGGGAGGAGUGUGGUGUUCAGAAGGUAGUACAUGGCAGCUAUCCAAGGCCCAGAGUGGCACACUGUCGAGCUUCUUAUGGCUGAGGGGCAGUAUUGAGUAGCUUGGCUGAAUAAGUUGCCCAAAGUAAACAGCCUGCUCCUCAGUCUCAGUUGCUAAUAUAUGCAUAUUAUUAUUAGUAUUGGAUAGAAAACACUAAAGUUUCUAAAACUGUUUGAAUGAUGUCUGUGAGUAUAACAGAACUCAUACGGCAGGCAAAAUCCUGAGAAGAAAUCAAAACAGGAAAUGAGAAUUCUGAGCUUUGUAUGUAUUCACCAGAGUCCCCAUUGAAAUCCCCUUGAGAUAUUAAUGUUGCACUGCCUAGGGGUUCCACUAGAUGUCAACCAUCUAUAGAAAUUUGAAUGAGACUUCUAUGGUGUUGUGGGAGUGAAUGAGAGCAGAAUCUGUCAGUCGUCUGCCAGUCAGCCAUUUUCUGAUCAUGCUUAUUCCUCAUGGUAUCCACUUGCGUCCCAUUGCUCAUGAAGACACAAAGGAAUACUCCGGUUGAAACUUUAUUGAAGCUAUAUGUUAAAAACAUCCUAGUGAUUGAAUCUGUACUUAGUUUGAAAUGUUUCUUCGGCCUGUAAUAUAUAUUUUUGAAGUUUUUGUCCGAUGUAACGCUGACCAGAAUGAGCGUUUGGAUAUGUAUCCAAAACGAGCUAACAAAAUAAGGUAUUUGGACAUAAAUAACGGACAUUAUCGAACAAAACAAACAUUUAUUGUAGACCUGGGAUUCCUGGAGUGCUUUCUGAUGUAGAUCAUCAAAGGGAAUAUUUAUCAUGUAAUUUCUUGUUUAUGUUGACGCCAUCAUUGCGGCUAUUGUGACUUUUAAUUCUGAGUGCCGUCUCAGAUUAUUGCAUGGGUUUCUUUUUCUGUAAAGUUUUUUAAAAAUCUGACAGGUUGCAUUAAGGAGAGGUAUAUCUAUAAUUCCAUGUGUAUAAUUUGUAUUAUAAUAUACAUUUAUGAUAAGUAUUUCUGUUGAAUGAUGUGGCUAUGCAAAAUCACUGGCUGUUUUUGGAACUAGUGAAUGUAACGUGCCAAUGUAAACUCAUAUUUUGAUAAAUAUGAACUUCAUCAAACAAAA